AAGCCUGACGGAGCAAGACCGCGUGCGGGAAGACGGCCUGUGGGUUGUAAACCGCUUUUGACAGGGAAGAAUAUGUGACGGUACCUGUCGAAUCAGCCUCGGCUAACUCCGUGCCAGCAGCCGCGGUAAUACGGAGGAGGCAAGCGUUAUCCGGAAUUAUUGGGCGUAAAGCGUCCGCAGGUGGUUUAUCAAGUCAGCUGUUAAAGCGUGGGGCUUAACUCCAUAAAGGCAGUUGAAACUGAUAGGCUAGAGUGCGAUAGGGGCAAGGGGAAUUCCCAGUGUAGCGGUGAAAUGCGUAGAUAUUGGGAAGAACACCGGUGGCGAAAGC
rnacentral:rRNA from 1 species